GAUGAAGAACGCAGCGAAAUGCGAUAAUUAAUGUGAAUUGCAGAAUUCCGUGAAUCAUCGAGUCUUUGAACGCACAUUGCGCCUCAUGGCAUUCCGUGAGGCAUGCCCAUCUCAGCGUUAGAAAAUAUUCUCAAAUUUUAGUUUUGUGCUAAAAUUUGGAUCAUGUCAAGGAAGCUAUUACUAUUAUUGUGAUCGCUCUUUGGAAAUUGAUAGGUCUUUGAGUUGCUACUCAUAGAACGUGAUGAAUCUUUCUUCGUUCUAUUGUAAUUCACUCUGGUAGUCCUAAAACUUGUAUGCCUGUGGUAUAUCUUGUAAUUUGACCUGAGAUUGGGUAGGGAUACCCGCUGAACUUAAGCAUAUCAAUAAGCGGAGGA
rnacentral:misc_RNA from 1 species